GACGAACGCUGGCGGCGUGCCUAAUACAUGCAAGUCGAGCGAAGUUUUUCUGGUGCUUGCACUAGAAAAACUUAGCGGCGAACGGGUGAGUAACACGUAAAGAACCUGCCUCAUAGACUGGGACAACUAUUGGAAACGAUAGCUAAUACCGGAUAACAGUAUUUCUCGCAUGAGAGCUAUUUAAAAGUUGGUUAUGCUAACACUAUGAGAUGGCUUUGCGGUGCAUUAGCUAGUUGGUGGGGUAAAGGCCCACCAAGGCGACGAUGCAUAGCCGACAUGAGAGAGAGAUCGGCCACACUGGGACUGAGACACGGCCCAGACUCCUACGGGAGGCAGCAGGAGGGAAUCUGCCGCAAUGGGCGAAAGCCUGACGGAGCAACGCCGCGUGAGUGAAGAAGGAUUUCGGGUCGUAAAGCUCUGUUGUUAGGGAAGAAUGGAUAUGUAGUAACUAUACAUGUAAGAGACGGUACCUAACCAGAAAGCCACGGCUAACUACGUG
rnacentral:rRNA from 1 species